GCGUAUAUUAAGUUGUUGCAGUUAAAAAGCUCGUAGUUGAAUUUCGGGAUCAAUUUGCUGGUCGUGCCUCUGGUACGUACUGGUAUUAUUGGUUUCUCCCUUCUGACGAACCAUGAUGUCAUUAAUUUGGUGUCGUGGAGAAUCAGGACUGUUACUUUGAAAAAAUUAGAGUGUUUAAAGCAGGCAUUAGCUUGAAUACAUUAGCAUGGAAUAAUGAAAUAGGACGUUUGAUCCUAUUUUGUUGGUUUCUAGGAUUGACGUAAUGAUUAAUAGGGAUAGUUGGGGGCAUUAGUAUUCAAUUGUCAGAGGUGAAAUUCUUGGAUUUAUUGAAGACUAACUACUGCGAAAGCAUUUGCCAAGGAUGUUUUCAUUAAUCAAGAACGAAAGUUAGGGGAUCGAAGACGAUCAGAUACCGUCGUAGUCUUAACCAUAAA
rnacentral:rRNA from 1 species